rnacentral:tRNA from 1 species
UCCCUAGUGGGCCAGAUGGUAAAGAAUCUGCUUGCAAUGCAGGAGACCUAGGUUUGAUCCCUGGCUUGGGAA